AGCGUUGUUCGGAAUUAUUGGGCGUAAAGAGCUCGUAGGCGGUUUGUUGCGUCGGCUGUGAAAUCCCGAGGCUCAACCUCGGGUCUGCAGUCGAUACGAGCAAACUAGAGUGUUGCAGGGGAGACUGGAAUUCCUGGUGUAGCGGUGAAAUGCGCAGAUAUCAGGAGGAACACCGGUGGCGAAGGCGGGUCUCUGGGCAACAACUGACGCUGAGGAGCGAAAGCGUGGGGAGCGAACAGG
rnacentral:rRNA from 1 species